GCCAUGCACCACCUGUGUUCGUGCUCCCGAAGGCACUCCUCCCUUUCAAGAGGAUUCACGACAUGUCAAGCCUUGGUAAGGUUCUUCGCGUUGCAUCGAAUUAAACCACAUACUCCACCGCUUGUGCGGGCCCCCGUCAAUUCCUUUGAGUUUCAAUCUUGCGACCGUACUCCCCAGGCGGGGUACUUAACGCGUUAGCUACGGCACUGAUCGGGUCGAUACGACCAACACCUAGUACCCAUCGUUUACGGCUAGGACUACUGGGGUAUCUAAUCCCAUUCGCUCCCCUAGCUUUCGUACUUCAGCGUCAGUUGAGAUCCAGCAGGACGCUUUCGCCACUGGUGUUCUUCCAGAUAUCUACGCAUUUCACCGCUACACCUGGAAUUCCUCCUGCCCCUAUCUCUCUCUAGUCUCACAGUUUCCAUUGCCGAUCCAAGGUUGAGCCUCGGGCUUUGACAACAGACUUAUGAAACAGCCUACGUACGCCUCACGCCCAAUAAUUCCGGAUAACGCUUGCAUCCUCCGUCUUACCGCGGCUGCUGGCACGGAGUUAGCCGAUGCUUAUUCGUUAGGUACCGUCAUUAUCUUCCCUAACAAAAGAGGUUUACAACCCACAGGCCUUCGUCCCUCACGCGGUAUUGCUCCGUCAGGCUUUCGCCCAUUGCGGAAAAUUCCCCA
rnacentral:rRNA from 1 species